rnacentral:rRNA from 2 species
GACGAACCGUGCGAACGUUAUUCGGAAUCACUGGGCUUAAAGCGCGUGUAGGCGGAUCGGAACGUCGGCGCCUGAAAUCCCCCGGCUCAACCGGGGAACGUGGCCCGAAACGACCGAUCUCGAGGGGUGUAGGGGGGACUGGAACUUCCGGUGGAGCGGUGAAAUGCGUUGAGAUCGGAAGGAACGCCCGUGGCGAAAGCGAGUCCCUGGACGCCUGCUGACGCUGAGACGCGAAAGCUAGGGGAGCGAA